rnacentral:rRNA from 1 species
GACGAACGCUGGCGGCGUGCUUAACACAUGCAAGUCGAGCGGUAAGGCCCUUUCGGGGGUACACGAGCGGCGAACGGGUGAGUAACACGUGGGUGACCUGCCCUCAGCUCUGGGAUAAGCCCGGGAAACUGGGUCUAAUACCGGAUAUGACUUCAUGACGCAUGUUGUGGAGUGGAAAGCCUUGUGCGGCUGAGGAUGGGCCCCGCGGCCUAUCAGCUUGUUGGUGGGGUGAGGCCUACCAAGGCGACGACGGGUAGCCGGCCUGAGAGGGCGACCGGCCACAC